rnacentral:misc_RNA from 1 species
GGUUGCUCUGUCCCUCUUAUCUGUGAUGAGCAUUGAAGUCGUUACUGACAUGGCAGCUGCAUGAAAUGACUAUGGAAGUGUUUGGACCUGGUUUCCCACUACGUAAAGGUGAUCGAAACUUACAUUUUCUGGAACCUCAAUGUGAUGUUCCGGAAUAUCUCUGUAUCAGGAGAUGGGAUUUUUAAACAAGUUGCGCUCCAGAGAAGCUAACUGUUGAUUACAUACUUACAAACAGUAUUAGUUCUUUAAGAAAAUCAUCAUCAGAUCCUUGUGUGAUUUGGUAACUGCAAUCAUUCUAGCUCUC